rnacentral:rRNA from 1 species
UCUGCCCGCUGGCGGCGUGCCUAAUACAUGCAAGUCGAGCGAACGGACGAGAAGCUUGCUUCUCUGAUGUUAGCGGCGGACGGGUGAGUAACACGUGGAUAACCUACCUAUAAGACUGGAAUAACUUCGGGAAACCGGAGCUAAUACCGGAUAAUAUUUUGAACCGCAUGGUUCAAAAGUGAAAGACGGUCUUGCUGUCACUUAUAGAUGGAUCCGCGCUGCAUUAGCUAGUUGGUAAGGUAACGGCUUACCAAGGCAACGAUGCAUAGCCGACCUGAGAGGGUGAUCGGCCACACUGGAACUGAGACACGGUCCAGACUCCUACGGGAGGCAGCAGUAGGGAAUCUUCCGCAAUGGGCGAAAGCCUGACGGAGCAACGCCGCGUGAGUGAUGAAGGUCUUCGGAUCGUAAAACUCUGUUAUUAGGGAAGAACAUAUGUGUAAGUAACUGUGCACAUCUUGACGGUACCUAAUCAGAAAGCCACGGCUAACUACGUG